CCCAUAGCGCAACCGGCGACCUCGUCCGCAUCCAUCGACCCGCUUGCCGUGCAGGUUCAUCAUCGGGAGCUGCAGCUCGUAUGGGUUGCAGCGAUGCUCAUCGCCUGCAAGUACGGGGAGAUCUAGGCACUGAAGGUCAAUGAUGCGCCCCUGGAGCCUAACACUGUUCUCAGUCUGGUCUUAAACUGGGGGUGGUCUUGGACAGCGCAUCUCCACGCAACCCUGGCCCACCGAGAUCAUGAUCGGCUACAGUCUGUCUCAGGUUCAUCAUCGGGAGCUGCAGCUCGUAUGGGUUGCAGCGAUGCUCAUCGCCUGCAAGUACAGGGAGAUCUAGGCACUGAAGGUCGAUGAUGCGCCCCUGGAGCCCACCACUGUUCUCAGUCCGGUCUUAAACUAGGGGUGGUCUUGCACGGCGCAUCUCCAUGCAACCCUGGCCCACCGAGAUCAUGACC